UAGGGAAUAUUGGACAAUGGGUGAGAGCCUGAUCCAGCCAUGCCGCGUGCAGGAAGAAGGCGUUAUGCGUUGUAAACUGCUUUUUGCCAGGGGAUAAAAAGACCGUGCGCGGUUAAUUGAAGGUACCUGGUGAAUAAGCCACGGCUAACUACGUGCCAGCAGCCGCGGUAAUACGUAGGUGGCAAGCGUUGUCCGGAUUUAUUGGGUUUAAAGGGUGCGUAGGUGGCCCUGUAAGUCAGUGGUGAAAUAUCUCGGCUUAACCGGGAGGGUGGCAUUGAUACUGCAGGGCUUGAGUACAGAUGAAGUAGGCGGAAUUGACGGUGUAGCGGUGAAAUGCAUAGAUAUCGUCAAGAACACCGAUAGCGAAGGCAGCUUACUAAGCUGUAACUGACGCUGAGGCACGAAAGUGUGGGGAUCAAACAGGAUUAGAUACCUUCGUAGUCCCUGAGCGGGCUGGCAAGGCGCAU
rnacentral:rRNA from 1 species